rfam:Jeotgalibaca dankookensis strain EX-07, complete genome.
AGAGCGUUAUGAUGAUGACUUCUUCCGAAAGGUUGAGAAUGUCGAGUCUAGCUCGUGGACCCUUACGAAAAUUUUUGAAUUUUCGUAAG